AGCAGCCGCGGUAAUUCCAGCUCCAAUAGCGUAUAUUAAAGUUGUUGCAGUUAAAAAGCUCGUAGUUGAAUUUCGGGAUCAGCAGGUUGGUCGUGCCUCUGGUAUGCACUGGUUUCGCUGAUUCCUCCUUUCUGAAGAACUGUAAUGUCAUUAAUUUGGUGUUGCAGGGAAACAGGACUGUUACUUUGAAAAAUUAGAGUGUUUAAAGCAGGCUAACGCUUGAAUACAUUAGCAUGGAAUAAUGAAAUAGGACGUUUGAUCCUAUUUUGUUGGUUUCUAGGAUUGACGUAAUGAUUAAUAGGGAUAGUUGGGGGCAUUAGUAUUCAAUUGUCAGAGGUGAAAUUCUUGGAUUUAUUGAAGACUAACUACUGCGAAAGCAUUUGCCAAGGAUGUUUUCAUUAAUCAAGAACGAAAGUUAGGGGAUCGAAGACGAUCAGAUACCGUCGUAGU
rnacentral:rRNA from 1 species